AAACAAAUAUAAAAUGAUUAGAGAAUAAUUUAUUGGUAUUUAUAAGUAUUAAAAGUAUAGAUUUAUAAAAGUGAAAUUUGGUUUGGUUGUAAGUAUAGUUAAUAUAAAUUAAAUUAAAUAAAUUUUUAGAAAUUAAAUUUAAGACCAGGAUUAGAUACCCUGUUAUUUAAAUGAAAAUAUGUGUAUCUAAGUGAGUAAACAGAUAUGAUCUUGAAAUUUAAAGAAUUUGGCGGUAAUUAAGUCUAGUUAGAGGAAUUUGUGCAGUAAACGAUAAUCCGCGAAAAUUUUACUUUAUUUAGUAAAUUAACAGUAUGUAUACCGCCAUUAUUAGACAGACUUUAUAAAGAAUUGUUGAAAUUAAAAGUUUAAGAAUAUUAGGUCAAGGUGCAGUUAAUAAUAAAGUUGUCAUGGAUUACAAUGAUAAUUAAUUAUAUGGAAAAAAUUUUGAAAUAUUUUUUGGAAAGUGGAUUUAAAAGUAAUAGGAAAAAGUUAUUUUAUAUGAUUGGAGCUCUUGAUUAUGUACACAUCGCCCGUCGUUCUUGCUUA
rnacentral:rRNA from 1 species